rnacentral:rRNA from 1 species
GCCUGCCCAUGACUCUUAAAUGGCCGCGGUAUCCUGACCGUGCAAAGGUAGCAUCAUAAUUUGCCCGUUAAUUGCGGGCUAGCAUGAACGGGUUUACGAAAUAGUAACUGUCUCAAAAAAAAAAAAAAAAAUUUCCUAUAGAUGAAGAGAUCUAAAUAUAAAUGUAGGACAAGAAGACCCUAUAGAGCUUUACCAUAAUAUAUAUAUAUUAGAUUAUUUGGUUUGGUUGGGGCGACUAAGGAAUUAAUCAUCCUAAUAAAUAAAGAUUAACAAAUCAUUAUUAUGACCCUAUAAAGAUCAAAGAAUUAAGCUACCUUAGGGAUAAGCAGGCUAAUCCUUUCGGAGAGACCUUAUUAAUGAAA